rnacentral:rRNA from 1 species
AUUGAACGCUGGCGGCAGGCUUAACACAUGCAAGUCGAGCGGGGUGAUGGUGCUUGCACUAUCACUUAGCGGCGGACGGGUGAGUAAUGCUUAGGAAUCUGCCUAUUAGUGGGGGACAACAUCUCGAAAGGGAUGCUAAUACCGCAUACGUCCUACGGGAGAAAGCAGGGGAUCACUUGUGACCUUGCGCUAAUAGAUGAGCCUAAGUCGGAUUAGCUAGUUGGUGGGGUAAAGGCCUACCAAGGCGACGAUCUGUAGCGGGUCUGAGAGGAUGAUCCGCCACACUGGGACUGAGACACGGCCCAGAGUCCUACGGGAGGCAGCAGUGGGGAAUAUUGGACAAUGGGGGGAACCCUGGUCCAGCCAUGCCGCGUGUGUGAAGAAGGCCUUAUGGUUGUAAAGCACUUUAAGCGAGGAGGAGGCUCUUUUGGUUAAUACCCAAGAUGAGUGGACGUUACUCGCAGAAUAAGCACCGGCUAACUCUGUGCCAGCCGCCGCGGUAA